GACAGAGGGUGCAAACGUUGUUCGGAAUUACUGGGCGUAAAGCGCGUGUAGGCGGUCUCGCAAGUCAGAUGUGAAAGCCCAGGGCUCAACCCUGGAAGUGCACUCGAUACUGCGAGACUAGAGUCCCGGAGAGGAUGGUGGAACUCUCGGUGUAGAGGUGAAAUUCGUAGAUAUCGAGAAGAACACCGGUGGCGAAGGCGGCCAUCUGGACGGUGACUGACGCUGAGACGCGAAAGCGUGGGGAGCAAACAGG
rnacentral:rRNA from 1 species